rnacentral:lncRNA from 1 species
UGCCAAGUGCCAACCAUGUAGAUGUAGAUGCAGUGAUCCCAAAAGUUGUAAAUUUACUUUUUAACCAUACUACUAUCACGUAAAAAAAUGAUUAUUCUGAGGCGACAGGGGUUUGGGGACAUUAUUGGUGACUGACUGAUGUGGUACAACCACAUCAGUAUGAGAAACAAAAAAAGUAGUCAAUACCCGGAACAUUUCAUGCUCUUCUCACUUUGCCAAACACUCUCCAUCUCUAGCAUCAAUAUUCUCUCUCUCAGACGCCAAACGCCAGAUGCCGAACUCCUGCUUCGCUGAACAAGCUUCCUCCUGAAAUAACAUCGGCUUUCAAGGUAUUAUCUUCCCAGUUUUUUAUUCUCCUCCUCCUACCAUUACUCUCUCAUAGCCUAAAUUCCCAAAACCCUAAAAUUUAUGCAUACUCUUAUUUUGGGUGAAAAUUUUGUGCAAACUCUUUGAGAAUUGAAAAGGAAGGGGAUUACUUUAAUUGGGAGAGGCAGGUAGAUGUCUUAAUUUGGUUCAACUGUACAAACUUCAAUUUCUAAUUUGUAAUUUGUUUAUACUUUAAACUUCAAUUUCUAAUCUGGGUAUGUAUUAAGGAGUGACGCAAACUUGGGUAUAUAUAUAAAGAUAAUUUAGUACAAUAUGUCAUUUUGUGUAAAGAUAAUUUAGUAUGCACUGGUCAUGGUGAAUAUUUCAGAAUGAAUAUUUAAAAACUAUUUACUUUGUUAACGGGAUUGUCGUAAGAGAGAUGAGGGGUAGGGAAUUAUUAUCUUUAGAUUUAAGGAAGAUCCUUCUAACAAAAAACUGUGUGUUUUGACUCUCAGUUGGUGGAACUCAAAGAAGCAGAGCAGAAAUUUCCUCCAUUUACCUUUUGAAAUAUGUUUAAGAGAAUUUGAUUCAAAGACCCCUUUUAAAUUGUUAUGAUAGUGCUAUUAUAAUUUUACUCUGUUCUUAUACUUGUAUAAUUAGCUGGUUAUAAUAGUUAUGCUAUAUCAAAAACUAGCAACAGUCCGUGUCUCGGGCACUAUGAACGGUGAUAUUUAUCUCAAAUUUUGUACGACCCAAAUGAUUUAUUAGGAUAGACGAAAAAUUUAAAAUUAUUUGUAUUUUAUUAUAUAGAUUAGUGGGACAAAAGAACCAUGUUCCUAGAAACAAUAACUCAAGCAUACAAACUAGACGAUAAGCUGGGAAGUAUUUUCUUGUAGGCUAAAAACAAUAAAAUUAGACUGUAAUUCAAAACACUUUUCUAUUAUAAGUAACAGUAAUUCAAAACAUUAUCCUAGUGCUUGAAAUAAGUAAACCAAUCUGUAUCGAAAUACAUACAUUUUUCUUUUACCAGAGAAGCAACGGAAUCCUGCUAGAAGUUCAGCAUCUCCUUGACGCAACAUGUAAGAGAAAUCAUCAAAGUAGCCCAUGCCACAUAUAAAGUUACAUAAUUACAAAUCAUAAAUAAUUGUCUACACUUGUAAUAAUAUCUACAUGGCCAAAUAGAGUUACAAGCAAAUAAGUAACAAUACACUAUAGUCUAUACAUGUGCAGGUAGAAAUUUUCAGGAAUAUCAAUUUCCCCCGAAGGCUGCAUCGGCAACUUUGUAAAUCUAUCAGGCAAGAUUAUAUCUAACAUCUCAUGCCAACCGUAAGACCUCAAUUUUUUAUAAAUAAAAUUGAAUUUCCUCUAUUCAUUAUUUUGAAAUAAUAAGGUGUUAAUUUGAUAUAAUACUUUGGUUAUGAGUGAGAUGUGCAAAUUUUGCAAAAUAAGCAAGUGGUUAUAAAAUAUUCAUUGUUGUCGGGGAAUAUUCGUUUGGUCGUAGAAUAUUGAAUAUUCUUGUUGUCGGGGAAUAUUUAUACGACGACGCAAUCAUUUAUGGGCCCCAUAACGGAAAACGGUCGGAUGAAAAAAACGAUAAGUUUGAGUUUUUAUAAUAACGCCGCCGUGGUUAUUACUGUUAACACUGUUGGAAUACCUGGUAGUUAAAAUACAAUAAUACGCGUGGUUGCACUGUAGCACACGGUAUUGCACAGUAUUUUUGGAUUAUUGAUUCUUACGUAAGAAGACACUACUUAAUAAUUGUUACAGUAAUUACUGUUCAAUAUUUUAUUUUAUUGAUUCAAUAAUUGCUACGUUGAUA